AAGCAGAUGAAGAGGAUUACAUUUGUAACAUGCAUUAUUUAAAAAGAAAUUCUUAGGGCUGCCAGCCUUAGAACAAAGGUUAUCUAGCAGUGUAUGUCUCCUUCAAAA